AGGGUAAUAGCUCAGUGGUAGAGCACAUGCUUAGCAUGCACGAGGUCCUGGGUUCAAACCCCAGUACCUCCA
rnacentral:tRNA from 1 species